rnacentral:rRNA from 1 species
CUACGGGCCGCUGCAGUGGGGAAUAUUGCACAAUGGGCGCAAGCCUGAUGCAGCCAUGCCGCGUGUAUGAAGAAGGCCUUCGGGUUGUAAAGUACUUUCAGCGGGGAGGAAGGGAGUAAAGUUAAUACCUUUGCUCAUUGACGUUACCCGCAGAAGAAGCACCGGCUAGACUCCGUGCCAGCAGCCGCGGUAAUACGGAGGGUGCAAGCGUUAAUCGGAAUUACUGGGCGUAAAGCGCACGCAGGCGGUUUGUUAAGUCAGAUGUGAAAUCCCCGGGCUCAACCUGGGAACUGCAUCUGAUACUGGCAAGCUUGAGUCUCGUAGAGGGGGGUAGAAUUCCAGGUGUAGCGGUGAAAUGCGUAGAGAUCUGGAGGAAUACCGGUGGCGAAGGCGGCCCCCUGGACGAAGACUGACGCUCAGGUGCGAAAGCGUGGGGAGCAAACAGGAUUAGAUACCCCAGUAGUC